GUACAUUAUAAAUGUUGGGGCUUUUACAACAAUGUGUCCAUCAUUGCUUGGUGGAACGUUGCCUCAGGUGUAGAAAAAACAUGAGGAUGUUUUCAAAUGAAGAUACUGGAAAAGCAUGGGAUCAUAGUGUCACACUGAAAAGUUAUCAAGUUUUACUUGUGAGUCAGUUUAUGUAGUAUGGAUUCUUGAAGGGUAACAAGCCAGAUUUCCAUGUGGCAAUGGUGCCUCAAAGAGCCAAGCCCUUUUAUGCCUCUUUAGUGGACAGAUUUAGGAGUGCUUAUAACUCUGAUGCAAUCAAGUUUUACAAUGCCAACGAAUCACAAUUUAUAGUUCAUCAAGUCAUAUUGGUCUCAUUGGGAAAACCAUUUUCAAACAGAACUAAGAUGAAUUGGACACCACUUUCAAACAGAACUAAGAUGAAUUGGACGCCAUUUUCAAACAGAAGCGAACUCUCUGUACUCAGCUCAGCAAAACCCUCAAGGCCAUCGACCCCUCCCUCGGAUCUCAA